GGUGCGUUGGACAAGCGGUCUAAGUCGCCAGCCUUUCAAGCUGGUUAUCACGGGUUCGAAUCCCGUACGCACUA
rnacentral:tRNA from 1 species